rnacentral:rRNA from 1 species
UACAGAGGGUGCGAGCGUUGUCCGGAAUCACUGGGCGUAAAGGGCGCGUAGGUGGCGGCCCAAGUCCAUGGUGAAAGCUCGAUGCUCAACAUCGAGUCGGACACGGAUACUGGGUUGCUCGAGCACUGUAGGGGCAGAUGGAAUUCCGGGUGUAGCGGUGGAAUGCGUAGAGAUCCGGAAGAACACCGGUGGCGAAGGCGGUCUGCUGGGCAGUUGCUGACACUGAGGCGCGACAGCGUGGGGAGCAAACAGG